rnacentral:snRNA from 1 species
AUACUUACCUGGCAGGGGAGAUACCAUGAUCAUGAAGGUGGUUUUCCCAGGGCAAGGCUUAUCCAUUGUACUCCAGAUGUGCUGACCCCUUCAAUUUCCCCAAAUGUGGAAAACUUGACUGCAUAAUUUGUGGUAGAGGGGGACUGUGUUUGCAAUCUCUCCUG